UUGACAAUAAAAACGUCCAGGAUAUAUGUAUACUAUAUUACCAUGUGAUUCAGUUGGAUCUUGAAUUAUAGGAACACAUAAUUUAAGGAGAAAUUAGAUUGGCCUAAGAUCUACGUUUGAUUUAUAAUGUGAUUUCUUAUAAAUUUUAUAUGAUAUGUGGGGGUUGAAUGUUGAUGAUUAGGCAGGUGGACUUAAUUGUAGUAGUAGAAGUUUUAAAUGAGUAUAAAAGCAAACUGGUGUGCACUGUUUGCUCAGAGAAUCAGCGUGUGGAUACAGAGUGGAAAACGCAAGACGCGUACCUUGCAACACAAAUAAACUUGUGUUUUCUCAUACUCUUUUUGUACCUCUUAUUCUGAUUCCCUCUUCCCUCCUCCUAUAAAUAUAUCAUCCCUCCCUCUUCUCUGUUUCUCUCUGUGUUUCAAACAUGACCAACUCUGGAAUGCUUGCCUUCCCUUUUCUCACUUUGUUCCCCUUCUCACUCUCCCACCUCGCUCAAGCCCUCCAUCUUUCUCCUUCUCCUGCUCCUCCUCCUACCAGUGACGGCACUACCAUUGAUCAAGGAGUAGCUUAUCUUCUCAUGCUGGUCGCUCUGGCUAUUACCUACUUGUUUCAUUGAUUUCAUUUUUCCUUUCUUUUUUCCCCUUUGUAUUUUCUCUCCCAUGUAAACUACCGAUGACAUUAUUUAUGAUUCUUUCUUGAUCAGAGAUGCUCAAUCCUGCUUUGCUUUUCAGUAUGAAUGAUAUUCCUGUCCCUACCUUGAAUCUC